AAAGAAAAAAGAAAAAAAAAAAGGGAGAGAAAGAGACAGAAAGGAUUUGAAAACUGUUGGCCAAAUAAACCUUUUGCUUUGAGUUUCAAUCUGCUGACUCUGGGUCAUCAGCUCUUUCCAAAUAAGACUUUGGGUGUCUGCAGAAACCUGUAGUAGCUAGAAUGUGGUGGACAUUUCCAAAAUAUUUAGAACACUAAUAAUCACUGUAAUCAAUAAUGCUCCAUAGGGAUCUCCCUUGAGCUAUUGGAAGUGAAGUUAGCAAGGAACUUAGAGAGGUGUGCACUGCUUGGGGUGAGCAAAGAUAAUUUGGAGUGGCAGAGGAGCCCUGAGAAUAAUGUUAGAAAAAAAAGGAAUGAAAAACUUGCUGCAAAAAGGAGAAAAGAAGGAAAGAAAGGAAAGAAAAAGAAAAUGAUUCUUAUCAGGGAAGCUGGUAAAGAUGGAUUUGUUUUCCAGGACUCAAUACAUUUAGACAAAGGAGCCCAGAGAGGAGAUCCAGGUUUGGGGGUGGUUUGAGCCAAGUGUCCAGGAGGGAAGGUAGGGGCAUGUCUGGACACCUGGGCAGCCAUGAAUAAUGGAGAGAACAGGCCGUGGGACCAAUGCUGUGUGGGAGGAAGAAUGCCUCCACAGGAUUGGACUCUGGCACCACCCCCUACUAACUUUGGUCUUAGGGAGCUUCCCGAGCUUCUCUAAGCCUCAGUUUCCUCAACGGCCAAUGGGCUCAGUGAUUCUUAUCUCACAGCUUGUUGGAAGGUUUACAUAAAUCAACGUACUAUGAUCUGAACUGCAUACCCCCCAAAUUAGUAUAUUGACACACUAACCCCCAGUGUGACGAAUUUGGAGAUAAGACUCUCAGGAGGUAAUUAAGGCUAGAUGAGGUCAUGGGAGAGGAGCCCCCAUGAUAGGAUUGGUGACUUUAUAAGAAGAUGGAAAAACAGAGAGAGAAAGAGAGAGAGAGUUCUCUCUCUUUACCAUACAAGGACACCACAAGAAGGCAGCAGUCUACAAGCUAGGAAAAGGGCCUUCACCAGAACUGGAAUCAACCAGCACCUUGAUAUUGAACUUCCAGCCUCCAGAACUGUGAGAAAAUAAAUGCCUGUUGUUUAAACCACCCAGACUAUGGUAUUUUGUUUUGGCAACCUGAGCUGACUAAUACACAAGGUAUAUUAAGGACCUUGCUUACUGCUUGGCUCAUUCUAAAUGCUCAAUAAAUAAAUAAGAUUCAUAACAAUGAAUACAUUAAUAAACAAUAAGUUAGGAAAAUGAGAUUGCCAAGGUCUUUGAAUGGCUAAACUGAGUAUGCAAUUUAUUUUCUGGACCAUGGGGAGUUUCUGAGCCGGAGACAAAAAGAGGAAGCAUAUGUGUGCAUAGCUCUGAGGUCAGUGUGACAAUAGGGUAUUACAUAAGAUGGGUUUCAGCAAACGUGAGGGUGUGUCAGGAUCACUUGGAGCGCUUGCGAAAAUAUAGGUUGCUGCUGCCUCUACUUUCUCUUUCACAUUCAGCAGGUCUGGGAUGGGGUUCAAGAAUUUGCAUUUCAGCCUGAGAAGAUGGAGACAAUCUGCAAAGCAAAAACAAAACCCUAAAAACAGCACUUGGGCUAGUAGCUGAAACAGGCUUAUACAUUUGUAAUAAGUGGGCUAAGGAGGAGGCAGGACAGCAUGGAGUGGUUGACUGACUCUUAGAUGGCCUCAAACAUCCUCAUCUCCUGACAUAAUGAAGCAAAUUGCCAUGUUGUGAGCUAUUCUACAGUGAGGCUCAUCUGGCAAGGAACUGAGAGUGACCUCCAACUGACAGCAAGUAGGGACCUGAGGCUCUGUCUGACAACCUAAAAACAACUGGAUUCUGCCAACAGCCAUGUGAACUGGAAAGUAGCUCUUUCCCCAGCCGAGCAUUCAAAUGAGACCUCAGUCCUGGCUAAAACCUUCAUUGUAGUUACUCAAAGGACCUCCUAAGUUGUGCCCAGGUUCUUUACUUACAGAUACAGUGAGAAAACAAAUGUAUGCUCUUUUAAGCUGCUAAGUUGUGAUAAUUUGUUAUACAGCAAUAAAUAACAAAUGCAAGUUGAGAGCAUGGGUUUAGACUCAUUGGACAUACAUUGUGGUUCAAAUUUUGCCUUGACUACUUACUCCUGUAUUCUUGGGCAUGCCCCUCAGAGGCUUAGUUUUCUUAUGUGCAAAAUAAGACAAUACCAGAGCCUACCACAUCACAAGUAUUCAAUUAUU